UCUUAUGGAUGAGCAAAGAAACCAGUUUCUUGAAAUGGAAUCUACUCCUGGUGAAGAUGCUGUGAA
rnacentral:pre_miRNA from 1 species